AUACGGAGGAUCCGAGCGUUAUCCGGAUUUAUUGGGUUUAAAGGGUGCGCAGGCGGCCAUUUAAGUCAGCGGUUAAAUCGUGGGGCUCAACCCCAUUCUGCCGUUGAUACUGGGUGGCUUGAUUGCGGUCGAGGUUGGCGGAAUUCGUUGUGUAGCGGUGAAAUGCAUAGAUAUGACGAAGAACACCGAUUGCGUAGGCAGCUGACCAGACCGCAAAUGACGCUCAUGCACGAAAGUGCGGGGAUCGAACAGGAUUAGAUACCCUGGUAGUCCGCACAGUAAACGAUGAAUACUUGUUUUCGGCGAUAUAAUGUCGGAGGCAAAGCGAAGCGAUAAGUAUUCCACCUGGGGAGUACGCCGGCAACGGUGAAACUCAAAUGAAUUGGCGGGG
rnacentral:rRNA from 1 species